rnacentral:lncRNA from 1 species
GUUUUGUUUUGUUUUGUUUUGUUUUGUUUUGAGACAGGGUGUCACUCUGUUGUCCAGGCUGGAGUGCAGUGGUACAAUAAUGGCUCACUGCAGCCUUAACCUCCUGGGCUCAAGCAAUCCUCCUGCCUCAGCCUCCCUGGUAGCUGAAACCACAGGUGCAUGUCACCACACCGGCUAUUGCUUGUAUUGUUUGUAGAGACAAGGUCUCACUAUGUUGCCCAGGCUCCCAUCUCUAAAAAAUUAUUUUUAAAUUAGC